rnacentral:lncRNA from 1 species
GAUCACCGUAGUCUGAUCACCGUCGAAAAAGUUUGAUCAUUGCAAAGUAGCCACACAGUGUGUCUGGCCUCUGUGGAUCAUCCACACGAAGCUCCCGAUCUGAUCGGCUCCUCAUGAAUGCUAGUUCAUUGCAGAAUCCUUUCGACGGUCAAUGUUGAUCGAACUCCUUCGAUCUUGAUCUGUCGACUCUUCAGAUACUCC